UACGAAGGGGCUAGCGUUGCUCGGAAUCACUGGGCGUAAAGCGCACGUAGGCGGAUUCUUAAGUCAGGGGUGAAAUCCUGGAGCUCAACUCCAGAACUGCCUUUGAUACUGAGGAUCUUGAGUUCGGGAGAGGUGAGUGGAACUGCGAGUGUAGAGGUGAAAUUCGUAGAUAUUCGGAAGAACACCAGUGGCGAAGGCGGCUCACUGGCCCGGUACUGACGCUGAGAUACGAAAGCGUGGGGAGCAAACAGG
rnacentral:rRNA from 1 species